CAGAACGAACGCUGGCGGCAUGCCUAACACAUGCAAGUCGAACGAGACCUUCGGGGUCUAGUGGCGCACGGGUGCGUAACGCGUGGGAAUCUGCCCUUGGGUUCGGAAUAACAGUUGGAAACGACUGCUAAUACCGGAUGAUGACGUAAGUCCAAAGAUUUAUCGCCCAAGGAUGAGCCCGCGUAGGAUUAGCUAGUUGGUGAGGUAAAGGCUCACCAAGGCGACGAUCCUUAGCUGGUCUGAGAGGAUGAUCAGCCACACUGGGACUGAGACACGGCCCAGACUCCUACGGGAGGCAGCAGUGGGGAAUAUUGGACAAUGGGCGAAAGCCUGAUCCAGCAAUGCCGCGUGAGUGAUGAAGGCCUUCGGGUUGUAAGGCUCUUUUACUCGGGACGAUAAUGACGGUACCGAGAGAAUAAGCCCCGGCUAACUCCGUG
rnacentral:rRNA from 1 species